rnacentral:rRNA from 1 species
GGGGAGCGGGCAGACGGGUGAGUAACGCGUGGGAACGUACCCCUUUUACUACGGAAUAACGCAGGGAAACUUGUGCUAAUACCGUAUGUGCCCUUUGGGGGGAAAGAUUUUAUCGGUAAAGGAUCGGCCCGCGUUGGAUUAGCUAGUUGGUGGGGUAAAGGCCUACCAAGGGCGACGAUCCAUAGCUGGUCUGAGAGGAUGAUCAGCCACAUUGGGACUGAGACACGGCCCAAACUCCUACGGGAGGCAGCAGUGGGGAAUAUUGGACAAUGGGCGCAAGCCUGAUCCAGCCAUGCCGCGUGAGUGAUGAAGGCCCUAGGGUUGUAAAGCUCUUUCACCGGAGAAGAUAAUGACGGUAUCCGGAGAAGAAGCCCCGGCUAACUUCGUGCCAGCAGCCGCGGUAAUACGAAGGGGGCUAGCGUUGUUCGGAAUUACUGGGCGUAAAGCGCACGUAGGCGGAUCGAUCAGUCAGGGGUGAAAUCCCAGGGCUCAACCCUGGAACUGCCUUUGAUACUGUCGAUCUGGAGUAUGGAAGAGGUGAGUGGAAUUCCGAGUGUAG